rnacentral:lncRNA from 1 species
AAGACAAGAGGUCGAUUGAUGAAGAAAUGACUAAAGUCACAAGCAUGGUGUGUCCGGUUCUGAUCCGAAAAGCUGAAGAAGAAUCAAGAAAUGACUAAAGUCACAAGCGUGGUGUGUCCGGUUCUGAUCUGAAAAGUUGAAGAAGAAUGAACUAGAAUCUGCAGCUAGUGAACGUCAAGUUCAGAUCUGAAGUCUGCAUGAACAACUAUUUAAGAUUCAACAUCAAGCUUCAGAAGACUUAUAGAUAGGAAUUUUGUAACUCAUAGUUGACAUGCAUAGUUAGUAUUUUUCAUUUUUUUUGAUUUUGAUGUAAUAACAGGACCGCGG